AUCUUUGCGCUUGGGGCAAUGAUGCAGCUAGUGAGGUUAUACUGAGGCGCGUCAAUUGCUGGUUGAAAACUAUUUCCAAACCUCCUUUUUGACUCUUACGGGUCAUUGAGAAUUUCUAGAAGGGUUCCCUCUUUGAGGGUAAAACC
rnacentral:snRNA from 3 species